UAGGUAAUCUUCCACAAUGGACGCAAGUCUGAUGGAGCAACGCCGCGUGAGUGAAGAAGGUUUUCGGAUCGUAAAGCUCUGUUGUUGGUGAAGAAGGAUAGAGGCAGUAACUGGUCUUUAUUUGACGGUAAUCAACCAGAAAGUCACUGCUAACUACGUGCCAGCAGCCGCGGUAAUACGUAGGUGGCAAGCGUUGUCCGGAUUUAUUGGGCGUAAAGCGAGCGCAGGCGGAAUGAUAAGUCUGAUGUGAAAGCCCACGGCUCAACCGUGGAACUGCAUCGGAAACUGUCAUUCUUGAGUGCAGAAGAGGAGAGUGGAAUUCCAUGUGUAGCGGUGGAAUGCGUAGAUAUAUGGAAGAACACCAGUGGCGAAGGCGGCUCUCUGGUCUGCAACUGACGCUGAGGCUCGAAAGCAUGGGUAGCGAACAGG
rnacentral:rRNA from 1 species